rnacentral:rRNA from 1 species
UAGGGAAUCUUCCACAAUGGACGCAAGUCUGAUGGAGCAACGCCGCGUGAGUGAAGAAGGGUUUCGGCUCGUAAAGCUCUGUUGUUAAAGAAGAACGUGGGUAAGAGUAACUGUUUACCCAGUGACGGUUAUUUAACCAGAAAGCCACGGCUAACUACGUGCUAG